UGUAAUAUAGCUCAGUUGGUAGAGUGCUUAUUUUGCAUGCAAAAAAUUCAGGAUUCAAUAUCCAGUACCACAU
rnacentral:tRNA from 1 species